rnacentral:rRNA from 1 species
UGAGCAAUCUGCCCUUCUCUUUGGAAUAAGCGUUGGAAACGACGUCUAAUGCCGAAUACGACCUCCUUUCGCAUGAUCGGAGGUGGAAAGCUCCGGCGGAGAAGGAUGAGCUCGCGGCCUAUCAGCUAGUUGGUGUGGGUAACGGCCCACCAAGGCGACGACGGGUAGCCGGCCUGAGAGGGCGACCGGCCACACUGGGACUGAGAUACGGCCCAGACUCCUACGGGAGCAGCAGG